rnacentral:rRNA from 1 species
UACGAAGGGUGCAAGCGUUGUUCGGAUUUAUUGGGCGUAAAGCGCGCGUAGGCGGGCCUGCAAGUCAGAUGUGAAAUCUCGGGGCUCAACCCCGAAACUGCGUCUGAAACUACAGGCCUAGAAUCUUGGAGGGGGAAGGGGAAUUUCGCAUGUAGGGGUAAAAUCCGUAGAUAUGCGAAGGAACACCAGGGGCGAAGGCGCCUUCCUGGACAAGUAUUGACGCUGAGGCGCGAAAGCGUGGGGAUCAAACAGG